UACGUAGGCAGCGAGCGUUGUUCGGAGUUACUGGGCGUAAAGAGUGCGUAGGCGGUGCUCUAAGUUUGGUGUGAAAUCUCCCGGCUCAACUGGGAGGGUGCGCCGAAAACUGGAGUGCUCGAGUAUGGGAGAGGUAAGCGGAAUUCCUGGUGUAGCGGUGAAAUGCGUAGAUAUCAGGAAGAACACCCGUGGCGAAGGCGGCCCACUGGGCCGGUGCUGACGCUGAGGCGCGAAGGCGUGGGGAGCGAACGGG
rnacentral:rRNA from 1 species